AUUGAACGCUGGCGGCAGGCCUAACACAUGCAAGUCGAACGAGAGGCGGACGGGUGAGUAAUGUCUGGGAAACUGCCUGAUGGAGGGGGAUAACUACUGGAAACGGUAGCUAAUACCGCAUACCAUCGGAUGUGCCCAGAUGGGAUUAGCUAGUAGGUGGGGUAAUGGCUCACCUAGGCGACGAUCCCUAGCUGGUCUGAGAGGAUGACCAGCAACACUGGAACUGAGACACGGUCCAGACUCGGUCGGGAGGCAGCAGUGGGGAAUAUUGCACAAUGGACGCAAGCCUGAUGCAGCCAUGCCGCGUGUAUGAAGAAGGCCUUCGGGUUGUAAAGUACUUUCAGCGAGGAGGCGUUACUCGCAGAAGAAGCACCGGCUAACUCCGUGCCAGCAGCCGCGGUAAUAC
rnacentral:rRNA from 1 species